UAUGUAGGGGGCAAGCGUUGUCCGGAUUUAUUGGGCGUAAAGAGCGUGUAGGCGGCUAGGUAGGUCCGUUGUGAAAACUCGAGGCUCAACCUCGAGACGCCGGUGGAAACCAUCUAGCUAGAGUCCGGAAGAGGAGAGUGGAAUUCCUGGUGUAGCGGUGAAAUGCGCAGAUAUCAGGAAGAACACCCGUGGCGAAGGCGGCUCUCUGGGACGUGACUGACGCUGAGACGCGAAAGCGUGGGGAGCAAACAGG
rnacentral:rRNA from 1 species